rnacentral:misc_RNA from 1 species
GAUACCAGCAGUGCAGUAAACAAGGAUAAAAAUCAUGCCACCAAAGGCCCAUGCAAUACCCAGAAGCCCAACUCCGCCACAAGGGUCAGCUUGUUUCUUGUAGCCAAUUACAGUAGCUACAGUGAUAUAGAGGAAAAGAAGAGUGGCUAUGAACUCAGCUAUAAGAGCACGGUAGAAAGACCAGAGCUUGAGCUCAGCCACGUCAAUGAGAGGAGCUGGUGGUGGAUCAACAUAAUCCUUACCUGGCUGCCUUUCUUCACUCACUUCCUUAGCC